rnacentral:rRNA from 1 species
CGUAGGUGACCUGCGGAGGUCAUUACCGAGUUCUGGGUCCCAGUGGCCCGCUCUCCCACCCUUUGUGUACCUACCUUUGUUGCUUUGGCGGGCCUGCUCCGGCGUCCGGCUCCCCUAAACGGGGGCUGGCCAGCGCCCGCCAGAGGAAUUCAAAACUCCAGUCAGUAAACCGUACCGUCUGAUCAGAUAUCUAAUAUCUUAAAACUUUCAACAACGGAUCUCUUGGUUCUGGCAUCGAUGAAGAACGCAGCGAAAUGCGAUAAGUAAUGUGAAUUGCAGAAUUCAGUGAAUCAUCGAAUCUUUGAACGCACAUUGCGCCCCUUGGUAUUCCGAGGGGCAUGCCUGUUCGAGCGUCAUUACAACCCUCAAGCUCUGCUUGGUAUUGGGCAUCGUCCUCUCCGGACGUGCCUCAAAGCCCUCGGCGGCGGCUCCUCAGCCUCAAGCGUAGUAAUUAAAACCUCGCUUUGGAGGCCGUGGCGUCGCCCGCCGGACGAACCUUAUAACUACUUCUAAGGUUGACCUCGGAUCAGGUAGGGAUACCCGCUGAACUUAAGCAUAUCAAUAAGCGGAGGAAAAGAAACCAACAGGGAUUGCCUUAGUAACGGCGAGUGAAGCGGCAAUAGCUCAAAUUUGAAAUCUGGCGUCUUCGGCGUCCGAGUUGUAAUUUGUAGAGGAUGUUUCGGCGAGGGCUCCCGUCUAAGUCUCUUGGAACAGAGCGUCACAGAGGGUGAGAAUCCCGUAUGUGAUGGGUUGCCCGAGCCAUGUGAAACUCCUUCGACGAGUCGAGUUGUUUGGGAAUGCAGCUCUAAAUGGGAGGUAAAUUUCUUCUAAAGCUAAAUACCGGCCAGAGACCGAUAGCGCACAAGUAGAGUGAUCGAAAGAUGAAAAGCACUUUGGAAAGAGAGUUAAAAAGUACGUGAAAUUGUUGAAAGGGAAGCGCUUGCAACCAGACUCGUACGCAGUUGCUCAGCCGGUCUCUUGACCGGUGUACUCUUCUGCGUCCGGGCCAGCAUCAGUUCGGGCGGUCGGAUAAAGGCCUCGGGAAUGUAGCUCCCCUCGGGGAGUGUUAUAGCCCGGGGCGUAAUGCGGCCAGCCUGGACUGAGGAUCUCGCUCGGCUAGGAUGCG